AUCAUUACACAAUAACCAGGCGGGCUGGACACCCCCCGCUGGGCACUGCUUCACGGCGUGCGCGGCGGGGCCGGCCCUGCUGAAUUAUUCACCCGUGUCUUUUGCGUACUUCUUGUUUCCUGGGUGGGCUCGCCCGCCCUCAGGACCAACCACAAACCUUUUGCAAUAGCAAUCAGCGUCAGUAACAACGUAAUUAAUUACAACUUUCAACAACGGAUCUCUUGGUUCUGGCAUCGAUGAAGAACGCAGCGAAAUGCGAUACGUAGUGUGAAUUGCAGAAUUCAGUGAAUCAUCGAAUCUUUGAACGCACAUUGCGCCCUUUGGUAUUCCAAAGGGCAUGCCUGUUCGAGCGUCAUUUGUACCCUCAAGCUUUGCUUGGUGUUGGGCGUCUUUUGUCUCCAGUUCGCUGGAGACUCGCCUUGAAGUCAUUGGCAGCCGGCCUACUGGUUUCGGAGCGCAGCACAAGUCGCGCUCUUCGCCAGCCAAGGUCAGCGUCCAGCAAGCCUUUUUUUCAACCUUUGA
rnacentral:rRNA from 1 species